UACGGAGGAUGCAAGCGUUAUCCGGAAUGAUUGGGCGUAAAGCGUCCGCAGGUGGCAAUGUAAGUCUGCUGUCAAAGCGUCUGGCUCAACCAGAUAAAGGCAGUGGGAACUACAUAGCUAGAGUAAGGUAGGGGUAGAGGGAAUUCCUGGUGUAGCGGUGAAAUGCGUAGAGAUCAGGAAGAACACCGGUGGCGAAAGCGCUCUGCUGGACCUAAACUGACACUGAGGGACGAAAGCUAGGGGAGCGAAUGGG
rnacentral:rRNA from 1 species